GACGAACGCUGGCGGCGUGCUUAACACAUGCAAGUCGAACGGAAAGGCCCUGCUUUUGUGGGGUGCUCGAGUGGCGAAUGGGUGAGUAACACGUGAGUAACCUGCCCUUGACUUUGGGAUAACUUCAGGAAACUGGGGCUAAUACCGGAUAGGAGCUCCUGCUGCAUGGUGGGGGUUGGAAAGUUUCGGCGGUUGGGGAUGGACUCGCGGCUUAUCAGCUUGUUGGUGGGGUAGUGGCUUACCAAGGCUUUGACGGGUAGCCGGCCUGAGGGGGUGACCGGCCAGCUGGGGAUGGACAGAGGCCCCGACCACACUCGGGGGGGAGGCGGGGGUAAAGAAUAAUAGAGGGGGGACGCAGGCUUGAGCAAGCCCGGGCGCGGGAUGGAGGAAGUCGGUUGGAAACCCAAUUUCGCUUGUAAGGGAGGGUAAUGAAGGGAAAGGGGAAAAAAACCCCGGCCAACUCCGGG
rnacentral:rRNA from 1 species